rnacentral:snoRNA from 1 species
CCCCUCUCAGGGCUGCACCUGGAGAGUUUCCAGGCCUCUACCAGUCUCGGCUAUGGGAGGGAGAAUCAAGCAGAGGCCUGUCCAUUCCAUUCCUAGCUCGGGCAGUGGCUAGUGAGUGGAAGGCAAUCUGUUACUGGU